CCAUCAUUUUUAUCACAUACAACACACUUCCUAACUCUAUUUCCUGUUUAUCACAUACAACACACUUCUUAACUCUAUUUCCUGUUUAUCACAUACAACACACUUCUUAACUCUAUUUCCUGUUUAUCACAUACAACACACUUCUUAACUCUAUUUCCUGUUUAUCACAUAAAACACACCUCCUAACUCUAUUUCCUGUUUUAGUUCCUCUAUUAUAAUCACAAUGUUAAAAUAAGAAAAUGAAUUUAGAGGACCCAGUAGUUUGAGCCCAAUAAUAGUUACAACGUUGGUGUUAUAAUUCUGCUUUCAUAGCCUCCACUCUCUCAUCACGAAAAGUGCCUGGAAGUGUAGAAUUCCCAUUCCCAUUAGGGGGAACAAGUAGUUUAGGCGUAAUCAGCAUGAAUUAGGUCAGCUCAACAGUAGAGGUACUGUACGUUUCAGAGAACGGCCUUUAUGGCACAAAGGAAAUGAAGAGGAUUUAGUACAUCACAUAACUUCCCUGAGACCGAGGAUGUCUGUCUGCCAGUUUUAUUGUUCUUUAGAUGAACAGUGUUUCAUGUGUUGCUCUUCCGCCAGACUGACAGAUGUAGGACCGGUCGUGAAGGACAGGCCGUGAAGGACAGGCCGUGAAGGACAGGCCAGCUGGUUCAUUCAGACAAAUAAUUAUAUUGUAUCUGGUAACAUUGACUGGUUUUUACAGAGUUAACAAAAUAUUGCUGUGACGACAAAUGUAAUGUUUCUGUCGACUCUAGAGUCUCUCCAUUCCCUCUCUCUCUUCUCUCCCUGUCCACCACCUAGAAGUAGUGCAAACAUGUCCUAGAAUAACAGUCUCAGCCCUAACGUCUAGCUCACAACAGGUGGAAUAUUCUAGCAGGCUCACACAGUAACAAGACACUUGAAGCAGGUUUGGAUGGGUGUUUACUGUGGGUAGGUAGUUCUGUCUGGUUGUUUACCGUGGGUAGGUAGUCCUGUCAGGGUAUUUACCGUGGGUAGGUAGUCCUGUCUGGUUGUUUACCGUGGGUAGGUAGUCCUGUCAGGGUGUUUACUGUGGGUAGGUAGUCCUGUCUGGUUGUUUACCGUGGGUAGGUAGUCCUGUCUGGUUGUUUACCGUGGGUAGGUGGUCCUGUCAGGGUGUUUACCAUGGGUAGGUAGUCCUGUCAGGGUGUUUACCGUGGGUAGGUAGUCCUGUCAGGGUGUUUACCGUGGGUAGGUGGUCCUGUCAGGGUGUUUACCGUGGGUAGGUAGUCCUGUCAGGGUGUUUACCGUGGGUAGGUAGUCCUGUCAGGGUGUUUACCGUGGGUAGGUGGUCCUGUCAGGGUGUUUACCGUGGGUAGGUAGUCCUGUCAGGGUGUUUACAGUGGGUAGGUAGUCCUGUCAGGGUGUUUACCGUGGGUAGGUGGUCCUGUCAGGGUGUUUACCGUGGGUAGGUGGUCCUGUCUGGUUGUUUACUGUGGGUAGGUAGUCCUGUCUGGUUGUUUACCGUGGGUAGGUAGUCCUGUCAGGGUGUUUACCGUGGGUAGGUAGUCCUGUCAGGGUGUUUACCGUGGGUAGGUGGUCCUGUCUGGUUGUUUACCGUGGGUAGGUAGUCCUGUCUGGUUGUUUACCGUGGGUAGGUAGUCCUGUCAGGGUGUUUACCGUGGGUAGGUAGUCCUGUCAGGGUGUUUACCGUGGGUAGGUGGUCCUGUCUGGUUGUUUACCGUGGGUAGGUAGUCCUGUCUGGGGGAAUGGUCCAGAAACAUAAUCCAGAUAUAUAACAGACAGAUAUAUUGUUUAUGGCUGCGGGUUACAGAAAUAGAAUCUAGAUACAAAUAUCAUCU